GCCUGGGUGGCUCAGUUGGUUAAGCAUCCGACUUCGGCUCAGGUCAUGAUCUCACGGUUCGUGGGUUCGAGCCCCACGUCGGGCU
rnacentral:tRNA from 1 species